GAGACACCCUUAUGGAGUAGGAUUUGCUUCAGUGGGGCUUUGGUGCUCACUGAGUCUGCUCUUGGAGUGUGUUGCU
rnacentral:pre_miRNA from 1 species